AAUUUACCUCCACACUCACAGCUGAAAGAUGGUGAAGAUGAACCCACUGUUUAUGAUCCUCCUCCUCUCCACAUCCUUAGAGCUGGUCAGAGGAGGCUGUUCGUCAUGUGACGCUCCUCCAUCUCCAUGUAAGUUGUGUGUCCAACGUCCUGUUUAUGUCCGGGAGGGAGAAAUGGCAGUGCUGCAGUGCCCGCUGCGGACCACCAGGGCAGGGCACAGG